CACGUAGGGCGCAAGCGUUGUCCGGAAUUAUUGGGCGUAAAGAGCUCGUAGGCGGUCUGUCGCGUCGGUCGUGAAAACUUGGGGCUUAACCCUGAGCUUGCGGUCGAUACGGGCAUGACUGGAGUUCGGUAGGGGAGACUGGAAUUCCUGGUGUAGCGGUGAAAUGCGCAGAUAUCAGGAGGAACACCGGUGGCGAAGGCGGGUCUCUGGGCCGAUACUGACGCUGAGGAGCGAAAGCGUGGGGAGCGAACAGG
rnacentral:rRNA from 1 species